rfam:Gossypium arboreum cultivar AKA8401 contig_30109_1, whole genome shotgun sequence.
UAUUAAAAAUUUCAUCUAUUUGUAUUGUUAAAAUCUUACAUAAUUGACGGAAUAACUAGACAGUGACAUGUGACAUGCUAUGUGUAACUCAUGCUAACGGUUAACGGCAUAAAUGGAUGAAAGUUUUAACA